GAGGGUGUGAACUCAGAAACUUCUUUGCCAUCCAGUUCCAGGAUGCUCGAGCUGUCGUGCCUCAUCACCUUCAGAAGACAUGUACAGUAGACUGAUUUCUAUUUUGGAAGAUGGGAGUUACAUCUGGUGGCCAAGGUGUCACCUCACCUGUCUGAGGAGGAAGGACACCACGUCGGUGGACUCCCAGUACGACGCGUGAAAGAGAGCUCGUGCAAGUGACGUCACCAUUUUCAACGCACCAUAUGACACGCUGUGGCGACCCCGAAAGGGACAAGCCGAAAGAAACUUACUUAUUGCCAGUCAAACAGAGCUGCUCGUCAUUGUGGAAGACAUUCAACUGGAGGAGAAUAUUUACAAUACCUGAGACCUGUUGUCACAACAGACGAGACAGAUAUUCAAAAAGAUCAUUCUAUAGAAUACCAGCUGAGAAGACCAGAAAAUAUCGAUGGAUUUCGGCAAUUAAACAUGAUGGAUGGUGCCCAACCAAAAUACACACACGCCUGUGUAGCGAUCGCUUCAUUUGAGUUAGGACUUGUUCUUCUCAAUCUCAAAUUAAAAAAAAUAUUUAUCAUGCCAAGUUGUCUCAUUUGAGAACAAUGCGUGAUAAAAAAAAAAACUGUCGCAGAGGUUUACGGAGGUUAAGUGUGGCCGCAAUCGCUUCCGUGUACAUUCCGUGGAGACGACUCCGUCCAGUUUUUUUUUUCCAAUCAUAGUUAAAGAAUGCGAGUUUGUAUAAAACCAGGGAUCAUUUAUUUAAAUAAUUGUAUUUGUAUUGAAUACUAGCUGAAAAGAUCGAUGGAUUCUGGCAAAAGUUAAUGUGUCGCCGAACACACUUCCGCGUUCACGAGCCGUCAAAAUGUCACGUCACUAUGUGGGAUUUAUUCCUGAUGAGAACAGAUCCAGCAACAAAGUAUUUGUUUCCGUGUAAAUCUCGACGACUUACUCACCAGACCCAUGUGUAUAUCCAGUUGUCCAAGACAAGUGGACGCGGGUUAACAGUCCACUUUCUUAUCAGCGAAAACAUCGACUUCGGCAUUAAAUACGGGUCCUCUAUACCGAGUUUAUCCAUUUUUUCCAAAUACCUUUGUUUAUUUUCACCUUCCAAAUGUCUAACGGUAUCAGACAAAACUGGGCGUCGUGCUAUAAGACAUAUUUUUGUGUCGUCUCCAACCGACUUAGCAUUGAACAAUGCUUUGUUAGACCGGCAAUAUGGUGAGGUAAACAAAAGUCACGUGAUUUUAUGACGUAAGUGCACAAGCACUUAAUUGUGCCCAACAAAAGCAACGGGA